GAUAGGUCAUCUCAUCUGGAAGGAGAGAUGGCUUAAAGGGGUGCGCGAGCUUCUUUUGUGCACCUGCUCUAGGAUGGGACUGCGGCCGAUCAGGCUGUUGGUGGGGUAAUGGCCCACCAAACCUGUAACCGGUACGGGCCUUGAGAGAGGGGGCCCGGAGAUGGACACUGAGAGAAGGGUCCAGGUCCUACGGGGCGCAGCAGGCGCGAAACCUUCGCAAUGCGCGAAAGCGUGACGAGGUUAAUCCGAGUGGUUCCCGCUGAGGGAAUCUUUUGUUGGCUCUAAAAUGGCCAGUGAAUAAGGGGAGGGCAAGUCUGGUGUCAGCCGCCGCGGUAAUACCAGCUCCUCGAGUGGUCGGGGCGAUUAUUGGGCCUAAAGCAUCCGUAGCCUGUUCUGUAGGUCUUCUGUUAAAUCCAACGGCUUAACCGUUGGUCUGCAGAAGAUACCGCAGGACUAGGAGGCGGGAGAGGUGGACGGUACUCCACGUGUAGGGGUAAAAUCCUUUGAUCCGUGGAAGACCACCAGUGGCGAAGGCGGUCCACCAGACGCGCUCGACGGUGAGGGAUGAAAGCUGGGGGAGCGAACCGGAUUAGAUACCCG
rnacentral:rRNA from 1 species